rnacentral:rRNA from 1 species
AGAACGAACGCUGGCGGCAUGCCUAAUACAUGCAAGUCGAACGAACUCUUCGGAGUUAGUGGCGCACGGGUGCGUAACGCGUGGGAAUCUGCCCCUUGGUUCGGAAUAACAGUUGGAAACGACUGCUAAUACCGGAUGAUGACGAAAGUCCAAAGAUUUAUCGCCAAGGGAUGAGCCCGCGUAGGAUUAGCUAGUUGGUGAGGUAAGGC